CUCAUGAGAUUACAGUCAAGGUGUAGGUCAGGGCUGGAGUAUCUCAAUCACAUGACUGUUGGCGGAAGCCUCGGUUUUUCACUGCAUGGACCUCCCCAUCGGGCCACUUGGGUGUCCCAGUGACAUCCUCACUUCCCGCAAAGCCAGUGAUCCCAGGGAGACCAAGGCAGAAGCCACAAUGUCUUUAAUGAUCUCAUCUCAGUAGUCACACACCAUCACUUCACUCACAUUCUAUUGAUCACAAUCCAAGCCUUCAGUGUGGGAGAAUCAACACAAAGGGCUGAGUACCAAGAGACAGGGAUCAUUGGGGGCCAUCUGGGAGUCUGGCUACCACAGAGGGCCUGGCAAUAAUGAUGAGGAUGAUUACUUAGGUGAGGAAGAAAGUAUCAUCAAGUUUCAUCCUUGUAUGAUGACCAUUUUCCAAAUCAUAAAAGAGUUGAAUAAAGUUUCUCCCAAUAGGUGGCAGUGCGUGUCCACAUUGACCUUCAUUCAUUAAAUAAGUAUGUAUUGAUCACCUGCGUUGUGCCAGAUAUUGUCCUAGGUGCUGAGAAGACAGGUGCCUACCCGUGCAGAGCUUACAGAGUGUAACCACUGGGAUGGAGGAAGUAAUCCAACCACAGGAGUGAAGGAGGGUCCUGGAAGAGAACCAGAGCAUCUCCAAGGCACAGCCAAGAUUUAAGGAUGUCACCUUAAUGUCUGCAAGCAACAGGCACUGCAACUUUCAGAGAGUUCAGAAAUUUAUAUUUCUUUUUUUUUUAAUGGACCAUUUCAUAGAAUAUUACAAAGGGGUGAUGUCACUCUUCCUUGGGAAUCCAUUCAUUGGUUCUCUGUAGGCUUUUUUUUUUAAUUGAAGUAUAAUUGAUUUACAAUGUUGUGCCAUCUCUGCUGCACAGCAA